CCUACGGGAGGCUGCAGUGAGGAAUAUUGGUCAAUGGACGAGAGUCUGAACCAGCCAAGUAGCGUGAAGGAUGACUGCCCUAUGGGUUGUAAACUUCUUUUAUAAGGGAAUAAAACGCGGCACGUGUGCCUUUUUGCAUGUACUUUAUGAAUAAGGAUCGGCUAACUCCGUGCCAGCAGCCGCGGUAAUACGGAGGAUCCGAGCGUUAUCCGGAUUUAUUGGGUUUAAAGGGAGCGUAGAUGGGUUGUUAAGUCAGUUGUGAAAGUUUGCGGCUCAACCGUAGAAUUGCAGUUGAUACUGGCAGUCUGGAGUGCAGUUGAGGUAGGCGGAAUUCGUGGUGUAGCGGUGAAAUGCUUAGAUAUCACGAAGAACCCCGAUUGCGAAGGCAGCUUACUAAACUGUGACUGACAUUGAUGCUCGAAAGUGUGGGUAUCAAACAGGAUUAGAUACCCUAGUAGUC
rnacentral:rRNA from 1 species